CAGUAACCAGCAGGUAUCCUAGUGGUUAGAGUGUUGGGUCAGUAACCAGCAGGUAUCCUAGUGGUUAGAGUGUUGGGUCAGUAACCAGCAGGUAUCCUAGUGGUUAGAGUGUUGGGUCAGUAACCAGCAGGUAUCCUAGUGGUUAGAGUGUUGGGUCAGUAACCAGCAGGUAUCCUAGUGGUUAGAGUGUUGGGUCAGUAACCAGCAGGUAUCCUAGUGGUUAGAGUGUUGGGUCAGUAACCAGCAGGUAUCCUAGUGGUUAGAGUGUUGGGUCAGUAACCAGCAGGUAUCCUAGUGGUUAGAGUGUUGGGUCAGUAACCAGCAGGUAUCCUAGUGGUUAGAGUGUUGGGUCAGUAACCAGCAGG